rnacentral:rRNA from 1 species
UACGUAGGGUGCAAGCGUUGUCCGGAAUUAUUGGGCGUAAAGAGCUCGUAGGCGGUCUGUUGCGUCGGCUGUGAAAACCCGGGGCUCAACCCCGGGCCUGCAGCCGAUACGGGCAGACUAGAGUUCGGCAGGGGAGACUGGAAUUCCUGGUGUAGCGGUGAAAUGCGCAGAUAUCAGGAGGAACACCGGUGGCGAAGGCGGUCUCUGGGAAUAUCCUGACGCUGAGGAGCGAAAGUGUGGGGAGCGAACAGG